AACGAACGCUGGCGGCAGGCCUAACACAUGCAAGUCGAACGAUGUAGCAAUACAUAGUGGCGCACGGGUGAGUAACGCGUGGGAAUGUACCUUUUGGUGGGGAAUAACUCCGGGAAACUGGAGCUAAUACCGCAUACGCGCUUCGGGGGAAAGAUUUAUCGCCAAAAGAUCAGCCCGCGUGAGAUUUGAUAGUUGGUGGGGUAAUGGCCUACCAAGUCUACGAUCUCUAGCUGGUCUUAGAGGAUGACCAGCCACACUGGAACUGAGACACGGUCCAGACUCCUACGGGAGGCAGCAGUGGGGAAUAUUGGACAAUGGGCGAAAGCCUGAUCCAGCCAUGCCGCGUGAGUGAUGAAGGCUCUAGGGUUGUAAAGCUCUUUCGCCGAUGAAGAUAAUGACGGUAGUCGGAGAAGAAGCCCCGGCUAACUUCGUGCCAGCAGCCGCCGUAA
rnacentral:rRNA from 1 species